GCCAGAGGGGGCAAGCGUUGCUCGGAAUUACUGGGCGUAAAGGGCGCGUAGGCGGGAUGGCAAGUCGGUCGUGAAAUCCCUCGGCUCAACCGAGGAACGUCGAUCGAUACUGCUGUUCUUGAGGAUUGCAGAGGAGACUGGAAUUCCCGGUGUAGCGGUGAAAUGUGUAGAGAUCGGGAGGAACACCGGUGGCGAAGGCGGGUCUCUGGGCAAUUCCUGACGCUGAGGCGCGAAAGCGUGGGGAGCAAACGGG
rnacentral:rRNA from 1 species